UUUAUUUUUGCAGCUAACAAAGUAUGUUUUUGAGGUUAACAACAAAGCACUGGAUAGUACAAGUGGAAGAUCAUUAAUAUGACUGGAUAGGAACCUCUUUUAAUUUCCCUUUCUUGGCUUUUUCCACACCCUAGGUGGAUUAUACUCAGCACUGCCACACCUAGAAAAUACACUCAGAUACCAGAAUUGCAAAAUUCAGGAAGAAUGCACUGCACGCUGUAUCCAGGCAAGCCAAGCUCACCCAAAAAUGGUCUCAAAAAGCAAAGGGCUCUGACCAUCGACUGAGGGGGUUGCAAGCCCAGCCCGUCUGCAGAAAUUUUUAAACCUGAAACCACACUACAGAAAUUAUUUUAUAUAUUAUACACUUAUUUUUAAAACUCAACUGUAAAAAUAAGUGUUGCAGGAAGAGUGAGGAAAAGAAGAGGGAAUAUAAAAGAGGAAGUUAGGACUGAAUCCAUUCGUUCCAACUUCCCUAAGCAAUCCACUUAUUGAUCAGUGUUUCCAACUCAAGGAAUAUUUAAAAUUUUUUAAUUAAAGAAAAAAUUCUAUCAAUCACAGAAUCUUGAAGGAAAGGGGAUCAUUUACAAUCAUUUUACAGGUGAGGAUAUUGAGACCAGCAGGAAGAUGACCUGCCCAAGCCUGCACAGAUAUCAAGGACCAAAGUUGGGGAUGAGACUCAAAUAUUCCCUUUCAGAUAUGCUUAGAAAAACAAGUCAGUGUUCACAUUUACUGUAUUAAUAGGAAUGUCUUUCAGGGGGAGUUUACAGAAAAAAAAUUAAACCGAAUUAAUUUAGGAUGACUAUAUUUUCCAUUGUUUUAAUUUCCUUAAAAAAGGAAAGGCUAUUGAACUUGAUUAUCAGUUCUGCAGUCUAUGGUUUUGAAGCUAAGUUAUUACACCCUACCUGUGUGAACACGGAAAGACCUUGACAUAUUACUUCUUUGUUAUAUUCAGCAGUAAGUGGCACUUGGCAUGUCUGGCUACUUACAGAGUGAAAUAAUUGCUUAGGAACCUAGAACUGCUUAUUUAAAGGGUGGGAACUCAAUAUUUAAUUACCGAACCAAAAAGCACCUCAGCUUUACCGUGGGAAAUCUCAUGCAAUGCACUGUUAGCCUUCAGGUGUUUCUCAGCCCAAUUCUUCAUUACUCUCCAGAAUCCUCUGGAACCUCCCUUCUGUUCAUGACAUAAAGGUAUCGGUCUUGGUGAAUCUGGACCAAUAAGGAAUGGCAGAUCUCUAUACUAGAACAAGGCUGAAGGAAGCAGAACAUUUCUGCAAAGUAUCAGACUUAGUUUAUCUUUGUCAUCAAUACUUGAGGUUGACCUGGUUCUAUUAUAUCAGGCUCGCUGGUCCCAGGAGGUUGCAUUUUUCCUAAAUGUGCACCGUUAAGGUGUUGUGUGAUUGAGGAGGGGAAGAAGGAGGUUGGAUGGGAAAUAAUGCAAAGACAAGUUCAUGGUUAAAGAAGCUUAUAAACGGAGUAAUUUUCAUGUAUAACAGGAGACCACAUUUCUUUAUCUCUAGAUAUCCAUUAUCUUCUUGAAGGAGCUGUGGUAUUAUUUUAAAUGAUGGGAUUUUUAACAUUUUUAAUGACCACUUCAACUUCUCCACCAGUCACGGCAUAGUUGGUGGAUUUUUCUUUUCAAUUUUGGUAUAACCACCCAGAUUACAUUUCUCUAACAUUCACCUUGCAUUUUGAAAAGCAUAGAAAAAUUCACUGCCAAGGACUAGCUGGCCAACAGUAGCCCUAGGGAGAAAUAUUUCC
ensembl:lncRNA